rnacentral:lncRNA from 1 species
ACCAUAAUCAAGUUUUUCACUGCGUCGUUCAGUCAGCUACGGUUUGAAAUAUAAACGCUGCACGCCAUUCUGUCAUACUGAACCUCAGCUCAUGUGUCAGCAGCCAGCCCAAGUCUCCCUCACCAGACAUCACCCUCUAUUGAGCCCUAUCCAUUAGGUGUCAGCAUGCCCAGCCAAGGACUCCUCCCCCAGACAUCACCGCUAUUGAGCCCUAUCCAUUCGGUGUCAGCAGCCCAGCCCAGUCUCCCUCCCCCAGACAUCAUCCUCUUAUUGAGCCCUAUCCAUUAGGUGUCAGCAGCCCAGCCAAGACUCCCUCCCCCAACAAUCACCCUAUUAUUGAGCACUUCAUCCAUUAGGUUGUCCAGCAGCCCAGCAAGACUCCUCCCCCGGAC